rnacentral:rRNA from 1 species
AAACCUGAGAAACCCAAAAGAUCGAAUGGGGAGAUUCAUCGUCAGCGGCGUUGGCUUCCGUGUGGAUCGCGAUGGCCGGGACCUCGGUUCCGCGUCACGCGUCCGCUGCGGUAUGUCCGGCGUCGUCGGCGUGCACUUCUCCCCUAGUAGGACGUCGCGACCCGUUGGGUGCCGGCCUACGGCCCGGUUGGUCGACUGUCGCGUCUCGUUCACGCGUGCACGCGGCAGACCAUCGGUCGCCCGGCCGGCUGCCCGGCGGUAUAGAUCGCUAUAAAACGGUAUUGGGCCGCAUUAAGUGCGUUCUGGCUCGUCGGCAGGCUCGUCUCGCUCGGAUUUAACGGACCUAGCGCCGUUGCCGGGCGCUUGGCGUGGCCGUUAGUCGACGAUGUCCUCGGACUGGCUCUUACAUUCGAACGGAUUUACCGGUCGGCGACGCUACUGCUUUGGGUACUUU